AGACAGGGUUGACCUAAAUAGACAAGGUUUAUUAGAUUAGGCUAGGGAUGGCUAAGGCCUCCUGGUGGCUUUACCACACUGGAUAUGGACAAUGUGUGGCCACACUGCAGGUUAUCAUUUCGCACGCCAGUUCCCCCAAUUGCCAAGUGACCUUACACCCCUCCACCGUCACACAGGAUUUUGUUUUGUUCUUUGAUUUUUUUUUCCCCCUGCUUGUCACACUUUUUACUUUGUCUCACUGAGGCCUGAAUGACCUGGCCUGGCUUGUGAGGUUUCAGGGGGAAGUAAAGAUUCUAACAGGGACUUUUCAACGAUGUUUUGUGUUAAGAAUAUACUGUUCUGGUCAGGUGGCGCUGAAGAAGUGGUUGUGAUGAACAAGAGACUGAAACCACUGAAGUGAAACCUUUGCUUUGCCGUGACAAAGGAUACAGUCAGCUGGGGCCGAAGAAGCAGCUCUGAUUAAAGGGCAGCAUCAUCUGGGAGAAAAACCUUCCAGUGUUUCCUUGGGGAUCAGUAUAUAGAUGUUGUGGCCCAGAGGGAGCCAGGGCUUUGCCUUGAGCUUGGAGCUGAACUUAUUAAUGUGUACAAGUCUUCUAGUUGGUACUUGUUUUGAAAACAUGAAGGGGUCACGGAAAACAGCUGAGGACUGGCACCAUGGAGAAGCCAGGAAAGGCUAUUGGGGAAGGUGCAGCCUCAGUUGCAGUAGAAGCCCCAGGGAAGAAGGGAUGGUGGAAAGAAGACUUGGCAUCCGGUGGCAUGGUUAGAGUCCCUGAAGAGUGCCUAGGAAAGACUUUUGGUGAAGUUGCAGCCCAGUUGCAGAGACCUCAGAGUUUUGAAGAUGCCAGUACCAUGGGAUUACCAUCAAGGGGGACAGCAGAGGUGAAGCGGAGCCAUUGACCCUAUGAGAUGCACUAUGUGUGCUGUGAAAAGCAGAGACAAAGAAGUGAAACUGCCUAGGUCCUCUGGAACCUAGAAGACUUUCCUGCUCUGACUUCCCAAAGUAGACUGUGACCCAGGGCACCAGUGGAGAUCUCAGCACAUCCCAGGAUCGAGUUCUGGAGGGGACCAGAUGACUCGGUGGUUAAGAGCACUG